GUGCGAAGGCGAGAGAAAGAGAGCGAGGAAAAAUGGAAGGGGCGAGAAGAAAAUAGCUAUUUCUUUCUCGCCCUUCCCAUUUUUCCUCGCUCUCUUUCUCUCGCCUUCCCAU